GGCCCUGUAGCUCAGGGGAUAGAGCAACGGUUUCCUAAACCGUGUGCCGCAGGUUCGAUUCCUGCCAGGGCCGCCA
rnacentral:tRNA from 1 species